ensembl:lncRNA
CCUGGAGUGAGGAGAUAACGCUCCAGGGCAACCUUCAGCAAAGCGGACUGAGCAUCCGUGGACAAAGGCUCCAGGCUCACGUCUUCCCGAUGAGCGAUUCAGGGAGACAUCUGCACUCUUCUCAGGAGGCCAUGGAACCACUGGGCUGCUGCCUCCUCCUCCUUCCUUAUUCGAUCACCUCACUGCCUCAUUGUUGCUUCCUGGGCUUAUCUGCCAAAGAAAACACUUGCACCCAGGUCCUUAUCUUGGGCUGUGCUCUCAGGGAAACUCAGUCCAAGGCAGUAGUUCGGUUUAUACUCUUAUAAUCACUCAGGCCAAAUAAUCUUCCUAAUUCAUCAGACUGACAAGUGGUGAAGCUGGGAUUUGAACACAGAUCUAUCUGCUCUGGGGACCUGGGUCCAUUCCUCAGGACCAACCUGCCCAUCCAUCAGCAUAAUAUUUUACAUCAAGGAGGAAAGCAUCUUGCCUUUACACCAGUGGGAACUUUUCUUUGUGAUACUGUUGCCAUGGGAAUGCCGUGCUGGAUUGUGACACCUUAUUAUCUCUCUCUCACAUUCUAUUAUAAAGUGAGUACUGGGGAUUCCAAACCAUAAAUAUGUGUCCACCAAUUGUUAAUCUGUAAAGUAACCUGCCAACCAACUUCAGAGCAGAACUGGUACUCUGACCAGCAGAACUGCUGUUCCCUUUAAAAAAAAAAAACAAAAAACAAAAAACAAAGGGAAGGAAGUGAUGGGACAGACAUCUAUGAUUAAAAGAGCUCAUUUGCUCUCCACGCCUUGUGGCUUUUGGUCCAAAGGCAGAAAGUGAAAAAGAAUGGAAUCUGCUCUUGCAAGGGAUGAAAUUUACUAAUGAUCUCCCAUGUUUCCUGGUCACAUACAGCAUUUUUCAGCUAAUCCUUUGAAAAUAUUUUCUGAAGCCAGUCUGAGUUUUUACCUAUGGGAGAGAAAUAUCCUAUGUAAGUAAAUACCAACAUUAUAGCCACUGCAUGUAUUUAAAAACAGAGCACAGGGUGCCUCAUGGAAUUCUAUCAAUUGCAUGUAACGUUUUUCAGAAGUCCUCAUUCUUCUGGAAGCUACCGAUGGACAUGCACGUCUUCAGGCCUUUAGUGGAACUAAAGAGGAAUUCAUAGAAACCAAAAUUGCACAAAGGCAACUGAAAAAUUGAGCUUCCCAGGUAGCUCAGUGAUAAAAAAUUCUGCCUGCCAAUGCAGGAGACUCUUGAUCAAUGCCUGUGUCAGGAAGAUCCCCUGGAGAAGGAAGUGGCAACCCACUCCAGUAUUGUUGCCUGGGAAAUUCCAUGGACAGAGGAGCCUGGCGGGCUGCAGGCCAUGGGGUCGCAAAGCAUCGGACAUGACUGAAGCAACUGAGCAGGAGCACAAGCUGGAACAGCAAAUUUUAAACAAACUUGUUUAUGCUAAUUGGCCCACCCUGGCUGCAGACCUGUCCCUUCAUGACAACUGAAUUUCAGAAAGCAGCUGCCCAUGCAAACCAUGUUAUUGAAUCAGAUGCACAUCUAUUUUCUAUUAACUUUAAUGAAAAGAUUACCUUUAAAGCUGAUGAUGCUGACUCUCUGUUACCUCACCACCAGUCAAUCAGAAGAACAUCCACAGGCUGAUCACACCCUGUUCCUUAAACACGAUAAGACUACUCACCACCCCCUCCAGGGCAGGACACACAGUCUUGAGGGCAAUAAGCUGUGACCCCUUUUUGUUGGCAAAACAAUAGAGCUCUUUCUGUCGACUUCACCCAAAACUCUGUCUCCGAGAUUUUAUCCGUCACCUGAGUACAGAAGCUGGAUUUCAGCAACACACUGCUACACCCAUAAUAAUAAAAUUUAUCCAUUCCCUUGGAGACGUCCCAGCUCUUUAAGCUGCCUUGGCUGGUGGUCCAGCUAUGUGAGCAAAGUUAGAUCUUCCAGCCCCAGCAGACUUCACAUAGAACGAGGAUAAACCACUUUUGCUACG